CGCCUGUUUAACAAAAACAUGUCUUUUCGAGUAUAAUCUAAAGUCUAACCUGCCCAAUGAGGAGUUAAAUGGCCGCGGUAAUCUGACCGUGCAAAGGUAGCAUAAUCAUUAGUUUUUUAAUUGGAAGCUGGUAUGAAUGGUUGGACGAGAGAGCGACUGUCUCGGUUUAAUUUUAUUAGAACUUUAUUUUUAAGUAAGAAAGCUUAAAUGAAUUUAAAAGACGAGAAGACCCUAUAGAGUUUUAUAUUUUUUAUAGUAUACAUUAUGUAGUAUUAGUUAAGUUUGUAUUAUAGAAAGUAUUUUGCUGGGGCGGUAGAAAAAUUGAAUGAACUUUUUUUAUAGUAUACCAUUAAUUUAUGAGUAAGUGAUCCGUCUUAGGGCGAUUAUAAGAUUAAAUUACCUUAGGGAUAACAGCGUAAUUUUCUUUGAGAGUUCUAAUCGAAAGGAGAGUUUGCGACCUCGAUGUUGGAUUAAAAUUUACUUUUGGUGUAGGAGCUAAAAGGUUAGGUCUGUUCGACCUUUAAAAUUUUACAUGAUCUGAGUUCAAACCGGAG
rnacentral:rRNA from 1 species